UUUAUAAUGUCUGGCCUGCCCACUGAAUUUUAAAGGGCCGCGGUAUUUUGACCGUGCAAAGGUAGCAUAGUCAUUUGUCUCUUAAUUGGAGGCUUGUAUGAAUGGUCGCACAAGAAACAAACUGUCUUCAAUAAAAUUAAUUGAAUUUAACUUUUAAGUAAAAAGGCUUAAAUAAAUUAAAGUGACGAUAAGACCCUAUAAAACUUGAUAAAUAAAAUUAAAAAAGCGUAUUAGUUUAUUAAAACUUUUUUUUUCUAACUUAUUUUAUUGGGGCGAUAAAAAUAUAAAAAGUAACUGUUUUUAAAAUUUUAAUGGUUAAUAACUAAAUUAAAUAAAUGAUCCUUUAAUAAAGAUUAAAAGAUUAAGUUACUUUAGGGAUAACAGCGUAAUUUUCUUUGAGAGUUCAUAUCUACAAGAAAGAUUACGACCUCGAUGUUGAAUUAAAAAAUCUUUAAGGUGUAGCAGCUUUAAAAGAAGGUCUGUUCGACCUUUAAAUUUUUACGUGAUCUGA
rnacentral:rRNA from 1 species